CCCGGAGUGGCGAACGGGUGAGUAACACGUGAGUAACCUGCCCUUGACUUUGGGAUAACUUCAGGAAACUGGGGCUAAUACCGGAUAGGAGCUCCUGCUGCAUGGUGGGGGUUGGAAAGGUUUCGGCGGUUGGGGAUGGACUCGCGGCUUAUCAGCUUGUUGGUGAGGCAAUGGCUCACCAAGGCGUCGACGGGUAGCCGGCCUGAGAGGGUGACCGGCCACACUGGGACUGAGACACGGCCCAG
rnacentral:rRNA from 1 species